CUGGAGGUCAGAGGUGUGAUCUUACUGUGUGGGCUCAGGAACACUUCAGAAAACCAUUGUCAGUUAACACAGUUCGUCAUUACAUCUACAAGUGCAAGUUAAAAGUCUACCAUGCAAAGCGAAAGUCAUAUAUCAACAAGAUCCAGAAAUGCCGUCGCGUUCUCUAUGCCCGAGCUAAUUUGAAAUGGACAGACGCAAAGUGGAAAAGUGUGCUUUGGUCUGAUGAGUCCACAUUUCAAAUUGAUUUUGGAAAUCAUGGACGUCGUGUCCUCCUGAC